rnacentral:rRNA from 1 species
GAAUACGUUCCCGGGCCUUGUACACACCGCCCGUCACACCAUGAGAGUCGAUAACACCCGAAGCCUGUGAGCUAACCGUAAGGAGGCAGCAGUCGAAGGUGGGGUUGAUGAUUGGGGUGAAGUCGUAACAAGGUAAC